rnacentral:rRNA from 1 species
AUUGAACGCUGGCGGCAUGCCUUACACAUGCAAGUCGAACGGCAGCAUGGGUGCUUGCACCUGAUGGCGAGUGGCGAACGGGUGAGUAAUGCAUCGGAACGUACCCGGAAGUGGGGGAUAACGUAGCGAAAGUUACGCUAAUACCGCAUAUUCUGUGAGCAGGAAAGCGGGGGAUCGCAAGACCUCGCGCUUCCGGAGCGGCCGAUGUCGGAUUAGCUAGUUGGCGGGGUAAAGGCCCACCAAGGCAACGAUCCGUAGCGGGUCUGAGAGGAUGAUCCGCCACACUGGGACUGAGACACGGCCCAGACUCCUACGGGAGGCAGCAGUGGGGAAUUUUGGACAAUGGGCGCAAGCCUGAUCCAGCAAUGCCGCGUGCAGGAAGAAGGCCU